CUUUUGUAUAAUGGGUCAGCGACUUAUAGUCUGUAGCAAGGUUAACCGAAUAGGGGAGCCGGAGGGAAACCGAGUCUUAAGUGGGCGUUAAGUUGCAGGGUAUAGACCCGAAACCCGGUGAUCUAGCCAUGGGCAGGUUGAAGGUUGGGUAACACUAACUGGAGGACCGAACCGACUAAUGUUGAAAAAUUAGCGGAUGACCUGUGGCUGGGGGUGAAAGGCCAAUCAAACCGGGAGAUAGCUGGUUCUCCCCGAAAGCUAUUUAGGUAGCGCCUCGUGAAUUCAUCUCCGGGGGUAGAGCACUGUUUCGGCUAGGGGGCCAUCCCGGCUUACCAACCCGAUGCAAACUGCGAAUACCGGAGAAUGUUAUCACGGGAGACACACGGCGGGUGCUAACGUCCGUCGUGAAGAGGGAAACAACCCAGACCGCCAGCUAAGGUCCCAAAGUCAUGGUUAAGUGGGAAACGAUGUGGGAAGGCCCAGACAGCCAGGAUGUUGGCUUAGAAGCAGCCAUCAUUUAAAGAAAGCGUAAUAGCUCACUGGUCGAGUCGGCCUGCGCGGAAGAUGUAACGGGGCUAAACCAUGCACCGAAGCUGCGGCAGCGACGCUGAUGCGUUGUUGGGUAGGGGAGCGUUCUGUAAGCCUGCGAAGGUGGCCUGUGAGGGUUGCUGGAGGUAUCAGAAGUGCGAAUGCUGACAUAAGUAACGAUAAAGCGGGUGAAAAGCCCGCUCGCCGGAAGACCAAGGGUUCCUGUCCAACGUUAAUCGGGGCAGGGUGAGUCGACCCCUAAGGCGAGGCCGAAAGGCGUAGUCGAUGGGAAACGGGUUAAUAUUCCCGUACUUGGUGUUACUGCGAAGGGGGGACGGAGAAGGCUAUGUUGGCCGGGCGACGGUUGUCCCGGUUUAAGCGUGUAGGUGUGUGUUCCAGGUAAAUCCGGUUCACUUUAACACUGAGGCGUGAUGACGAGGCACUACGGUGCUGAAGCAACAAAUGCCCUGCUUCCAGGAAAAGCCUCUAAGCAUCAGGUAACAUCAAAUCGUACCCCAAACCGACACAGGUGGUCAGGUAGAGAAUACCAAGGCGCUUGAGAGAACUCGGGUGAAGGAACUAGGCAAAAUGGUGCCGUAACUUCGGGAGAAGGCACGCUGACACGUAGGUGAAGUGAUUUACUCAUGGAGCUGAAGUCAGUCGAAGAUACCAGCUGGCUGCAACUGUUUAUUAAAAACACAGCACUGUGCAAACACGAAAGUGGACGUAUACGGUGUGACGCCUGCCCGGUGCCGGAAGGUUAAUUGAUGGGGUCAGCGCAAGCGAAGCUCCUGAUCGAAGCCCCGGUAAACGGCGGCCGUAACUAUAACGGUCCUAAGGUAGCGAAAUUCCUUGUCGGGUAAGUUCCGACCUGCACGAAUGGCGUAAUGAUGGCCAGGCUGUCUCCACCCGAGACUCAGUGAAAUUGAACUCGCUGUGAAGAUGCAGUGUACCCGCGGCAAGACGGAAAGACCCCGUGAACCUUUACUAUAGCUUGACACUGAACAUUGAGCCUUGAUGUGUAGGAUAGGUGGGAGGCUUUGAAGUGUGGACGCCAGUCUGCAUGGAGCCGGCCUUGAAAUACCACCCUUUAAUGUUUGAUGUUCUAACGUGGACCCGUGAUCCGGGUUGCGGACAGUGUCUGGUGGGUAGUUUGACUGGGGCGGUCUCCUCCUAAAGAGUAACGGAGGAGCACGAAGGUUGGCUAAUCCUGGUCGGACAUCAGGAGGUUAGUGCAAUGGCAUAAGCCAGCUUGACUGCGAGCGUGACGGCGCGAGCAGGUGCGAAAGCAGGUCAUAGUGAUCCGGUGGUUCUGAAUGGAAGGGCCAUCGCUCAACGGAUAAAAGGUACUCCGGGGAUAACAGGCUGAUACCGCCCAAGAGUUCAUAUCGACGGCGGUGUUUGGCACCUCGAUGUCGGCUCAUCACAUCCUGGGGCUGAAGUAGGUCCCAAGGGUAUGGCUGUUCGCCAUUUAAAGUGGUACGCGAGCUGGGUUUAGAACGUCGUGAGACAGUUCGGUCCCUAUCUGCCGUGGGCGCUGGAGAACUGAGGGGGGCUGCUCCUAGUACGAGAGGACCGGAGUGGACGCAUCACUGGUGUUCGGGUUGUCAUGCCAAUGGCACUGCCCGGUAGCUAAAUGCGGAAGAGAUAAGUGCUGAAAGCAUCUAAGCACGAAACUUGCCCCGAGAUGAGUUCUCCCUGAGACUUAGCGUCUCCUGAAGGAACGUUGAAGACGACGACGUUGAUAGGCCGGGUGUGUAAGCGCAGCGAUCCGUUGAGCUAACCGGUACU
rnacentral:rRNA from 1 species